GCCUCAAUAGCUCAGUUGGCUGGAACAUGGUGCUGAUAACGCCAAGGUUGCAGGUUCGAUUCCCAUAGGGCA